rnacentral:sRNA from 1 species
CUGUUUUUUAGCACCAUUCAUAGAAUGGUGGGCUAGCGCACGUUUUAAAGAUUAUUAAAAACCCGCCCCCACGGAGGCGGGUUUU